GGGACGUGGCGGAAUAGGCAGACGCAACGGACUUAAAAUCCGUUGGUAGUAAUACCGUGCGGGUUCAAGUCCCGCCGUCCCC
rnacentral:tRNA from 1 species